AUUGAACGCUGGCGGCAGGCCUAACACAUGCAAGUCGAGCGGAGCGGCGGACGGGUGAGUAAUGCCUAGGACUCUGCCUGGUAGUGGGGGAUAACGUCAGGAAACGGGCGCUAAAACCGCAUACUCUCAGCUGAGGCUAGGUCGGAUUAGCUAGUGGGUGGGGUAAAGGCCUACCAAGGCGACGAUCCGGAACUGGUCUGAGAGGAUGAUCAGUCACACUGGAACUGAGACACGGUCCAGACUCCUACGGGAGGCAGCAGUGGGGAAUAUUGGACAAUGGGCGAAAGCCUGAUCCAGCCAUGCCGCGUGUGUGAAGAAGGUCUUCGGAUUGUAAAGCACUUUAAGUUGGGAGGCGUUACCAACAGAAUAAGCACCGGCUAACUUCGUGCCAGCAGCCGCGGUAAUUC
rnacentral:rRNA from 1 species